GGAAGGACUCCAGGUGGCCUACCAUUUUACAGGAAUAAGGCAACUCAAAAGUACUUAGCCAUCGACCCAAACGGAACCGUUUAUAUGUCGCCAACUCAAAACAGUGAUACUGUCAUCUACACUAUCAACGAUACCCGUGACUUGAGCAUAAUAUACUUAUACCGCCUUGUUGGUCAAAACAAGCGAUUAUAUCUGGACCUCUCGCCUCAGAGUAACACGGUCGGACCAGCGAACACCAGUAAUACAACUAAAUUUCGCUCUAGAAAUGGCGUAAAAACCUGUUAACAAGUAGUGGACCUAGACAAUUUUAAGAACUUUUAGAUUUUAGGAUGAAUAUUAAAGACCACGCGUAUUGGAUAUCACAGUAAGUUAUUUUGCAAAAUUAAAGGAACUUUUAAAGUCUUA